ACUUUCACACGUGAGGAGAAUGUUCGGUAUAAUAAUUUUGCAUUUUUGGGAGGAUGUAGUCGGGGAAACUUAAAAACAAAUAAUUGUUAUGAACAUCACAGACGAACACAUGACGAAUACAACGAUUAGCAAAAAAGCGGGAAGCGGAUGACAGAACGUUAGUAGUGCCAACAUGAAGGAAGUGGAAGAGAAGAAAACGAUAUAUAUAAUAUAGAAAUAUAGAGUUUAGAAUAAAACGAGUAUAGAUUGACAUGAAUUAUACGCAUUAAAUUAGAAGAGAUAAGACAAUAUUUAGAGUUUUAUGUUAUUUGUUUGUAAAUAUUUAAUUAGAAUAGAAGUUAGCUUAGUAUCCAUGUGACAAAGAAGCGAGCUAAAGCAUAUAGGUCGUGGAACAUUUUCGGGUAGUACAUCGUAUAGUGAGUAGCUACAUUUUGUACAAGCAAAGAAGAUGUGGUCCAAGUUGCCCUCAUCCAACCCACAUUCACACAAUGAGUUCGCACGGACACCAAUCAUAGCCAGAAAUAACGGAGUACAUACUUUGCCUAAGCGUAAACGGCAAAUGGUGGAUAUUACCCACUUUGGAGAAGUACGGAAUCGAUAGAACCAUGGUUUUCGAGUAAUUCGAGGUUGUACACAGCCAUAAUGUUUACCAGUCUCCAAUCUAGAGAUAUCCCAUUGCCUCUGCCAUGUAUUAAACAUAUCAGAUAGUGCACAACUCAACAGCCUCAAGAAUAGCAACUGCCUCACCUGUGAAAAUGGACGCUUGAGGAGGGCAUUUAAAUGGAAGGACGAUAUUGUACCGUGGAAUCCACACCGCUGCUCCCACACAUCUUGCAGGAUCCACCUUAGAAGCGUCAGUAAAAACCGUGACCUCCAGUGCCAGCGCCUGCAAGCGUGGGAGCAGCAAGUGGUUGUUGUAAGAGCUGGCUUUGAUCAAGAACCUGUCGGCGAGGUAUUGUCUGCGUAGAGCCAACGGCGGUUCAACACCUUCCACCUGCAUGCCAUUUUUGGGAGAGGGAAGCAUAGCACCUAGUAUGAUCCUUAAACAUUUAGCCUGUAUAAGAUCUAAUUUAUCUAGACCAUCCUUAUUACAGGGUUCCAUUAAAAAUGCCCCAUAG